AUUCCUACAAUAGAAAUUGUAGACCCAAUUCUUGAUACUACGUUUCAUGAUGUAUAUGCGUCUGGGUAGUCUGAGUAUCGUCGAGGUAUUCCUGCUAAUCCUAGGAAGUGUUGAGGAAAGAAUGUUAAAUUUACUCCAA